rnacentral:rRNA from 1 species
GCCUACGGGGGGCAGCAGUGGGGAAUAUUGCACAAUGGAGGAAACUCUGAUGCAGCAACGCCGCGUGGAGGAUGACACAUUUCGGUGCGUAAACUCCUUUUAUAUGGGAAGAUAAUGACGGUACCAUAUGAAUAAGCACCGGCUAACUCCGUGCCAGCAGCCGCGGUAAUACGGAGGGUGCAAGCGUUACUCGGAAUCACUGGGCGUAAAGCGCGCGCAGGCGGCCUUUUAAGUUGGAUGUGAAAGCCUAUGGCUCAACCAUAGAACUGCAUCCAAAACUAUUAGGCUAGAGUGUGGGAGAGGAAGAUGGAAUUAGUUGUGUAGGGGUAAAAUCCGUAGAGAUAACUAGGAAUACCAAAAGCGAAGGCAAUCUUCUGGAACACUACUGACGCUGAGGCGCGAAAGCGUGGGGAGCAAACAGGAUUAGAAACCCGCGU